rnacentral:rRNA from 1 species
UACGUAGGGGGCGAGCGUUGUCCGGAAUUAUUGGGCGUAAAGAGCUCGUAGGUGGUUUGUCGCGUUGUUCGUGAAAUCCCACGGCUUAACUGUGAGCGUGCGGGCGAUACGGGCAGACUAGAGUACUGCAGGGGAGACUGGAAUUCCUGGUGUAGCGGUGGAAUGCGCAGAUAUCAGGAGGAACACCGGUGGCGAAGGCGGGUCUCUGGGCAGUAACUGACGCUGAGGAGCGAAAGCGUGGGGAGCGAACAGG